rnacentral:rRNA from 1 species
UACGUAGGGACCGAGCGUUGUCCGGAAUCAUUGGGCGUAAAGAGCGUGUAGGCGGCCAACUAAGUCCUGCGUGAAAUCUCGGGGCUCAACCCCGAGCGGUCGUGGGAAACUGGUUGGCUAGAGUGCGGGAGAGGAGAGUGGAAUUCCUGGUGUAGCGGUGAAAUGCGCAGAUAUCAGGAGGAACACUAAUGGCGAAGGCAGCUCGCUGGGACGGUACUGACGCUGAGGCGCGAAAGCGUGGGGAGCAAACAGG